rnacentral:rRNA from 1 species
AUUGAACGCUGGCGGCAGGCCUAACACAUGCAAGUCGAGCGGAUGAAGGGAGCUUGCUCCUGGAUUCAGCGGCGGACGGGUGAGUAAUGCCUAGGAAUCUGCCUGGUAGUGGGGGAUAACGUCCGGAAACGGGCGCUAAUACCGCAUACGUCCUGAGGGAGAAAGUGGGGGAUCUUCGGACCUCACGCUAUCAGAUGAGCCUAGGUCGGAUUAGCUAGUUGGUGGGGUAAAGGCCUACCAAGGCGACGAUCCGUAACUGGUCUGAGAGGAUGAUCAGUCACACUGGAACUGAGACACGGUCCAGACUCCUACGGGAGGCAGCAGUGGGGAAGAGUGGACGAUGGGCGAAAGCCUGAUCCAGCCAUGGCGCGUGUGUGAAGAAGGUCUUCGGAUUGUAAAGCACUUUAAGUUGGGAGGAAGGGCAGUGAGUUAAUACCUUGCUGUUUUGACGUUACCAGCAGAAUAAGCACCGGCUAACUUCGU